AGAACGAACGCUGGCGGCAGGCUUAACACAUGCAAGUCGAACGCGUGUAGCAAUACACGAGUGGCGCACGGGUGAGUAACGCGUGGAUAUCUGCCUUUUGGUUCGGAAUAACCCCGGGAAACUGGGGCUAAUACCGGAUGGUUCCUACGGGAUAAAGAUUUAUCGCCAAAAGAUGAGUCCGCGUACGAUUAGCUAGUUGGUGAGGUAAUGGCUCACCAAGGCGACGAUCGUUAGCUGGUCUGAGAGGACGAUCAGCCACACUGGGACUGAGACACGGCCCAGACUCCUACGGGAGGCAGCAGUGGGGAAUAUUGGACAAUGGGGGCAACCCUGAUCCAGCCAUGCCGCGUGAGUGAUGAAGGCCUUCGGGUUGUAAAGCUCUUUUGGCGGGGACGAUGAUGACGGUACCGCAGAUAAGCCCGGCUAACUUCGCGCCAGCAGCCGC
rnacentral:rRNA from 1 species